GGGUUCGCCCAUUGGUCAGGCUUAAUUGUCUGUACUGGUGAGAUGAGUCUCUACCUUCUGAGGAACUUUCAUGCCAUUUAUUUGGUGUGGUUGGAAAUCAGGACUGUUACUUUGAAAAAAUUAGAGUGUUUAAAGCAGGCGUUUGCUUGAAUACAUUAGCAUGGAAUAAUGGAAUAGGGC
rnacentral:rRNA from 1 species